UUUUUAGAGAAAUCGAAUCGCUAAAACUAUGCAAUUCACCAACCACUCCAUUUACAGAAUGAACUUAUUACGAAUUCGAAUUGUCAAAUUUCUUGGUUCAAUCAAUAUCGGAUUGAGCCCAAAACAUGGGCAACAUCAUAAUAUGAAUAGAGGAGUGAAAUGGUGUGUUUUGAGUGAAAUCCAAUCGCUAAAACUAUGCAAUACACCAACCACUCCAGUUACGGAACGAACUUGGUAUGAACUUGAAUUGUCCAAUUUGUCGGUUCAAUCGAUAUUGGAUUUAGCCCAAAAGUUAGGCAACAAUAUAAUAUGGUGGGAGGAGUCAGUCACUGAGUUUUGAGUGAAAUCCAAAAGCUAAAACUAGGCAAUACACUAACCACUCCAUUUACGGAAUGAAUU
rnacentral:lncRNA from 1 species